rnacentral:rRNA from 1 species
GACGUAGGAGGCGAGCGUUGUCCGGAUUCAUUGGGCGUAAAGAGCACGCAGGCGGUUUGGCAAGUCGGAUGUGAAAACCCGGAGCUCAACUCCGGACCUGCAUCCGAAACUGCCCGACUAGAGGUAGGUAGGGGAGAUCGGAAUUCCUGGUGUAGCGGUGAAAUGCGCAGAUAUCAGGAGGAACACCGGUGGCGUAGGCGGAUCUCUGGGCCUUACCUGACGCUCAGGUGCGAAAGCUAGGGGAGCGAACAGG